GCAGCUCUUGUUUUGCAGCCAUCACCCCAAAAAAAUAAAGUAGCAGCCAAAAAAGUGACCCUGGACAGGAAGUGGGGGGAAAGGGUCCUAAAAAAUUAGAAAUGCUGGAAGAGUGGUGGACUCUGCCCAUAUUGCAGUGAAAAAACUAAGUGCAUUGGGGUAUGUCCCAAUUCUAUUUUUCGCCAAGAAAGAUAAGGCCUCUGGAAAGUGGGUGGCUGAUGUUGUGACCCAUCUGACACCCACUGAGGAUAACCUAAAAAUUGUGGCCACCAUGAGAAAGGCCUACAAUUUUUUAUUGAUCAAAGAAGGGAACUCCACAACGACAUUGCCAGAGCCCCAGCAUCAGACUCAACCCGAGCCCCAGGAUCAGGCUCAACCCGAGCCCCAGCAUCAGGCCCAGCUCAAGCACCAGCAUCAGGCCCAGCAUCAGGCCCAGCCC